UGCGUAGGCGGUGUCCUAAGUUUGGUGUGAAAUCUCCCGGCUUAACUGGGAGGGUGCGCCGAAGACUGGGGUGCUAGAGGAUGGGAAAAGGCAAGCGGAAUUCCUGGUGUAGCGGUGAAAUGCGUAGAUAUCAGGAGGAACACCGGCGGUGUAGACGGCUUGCUAGACCACCCCUGACGCUGAGGCACGAAAGCGUGGGUAGCAAACA
rnacentral:rRNA from 1 species